rnacentral:tRNA from 1 species
GUUGUAGUGGCCGAGUGGUAAAGGCAAUGGACAUAAAAUCUUUUGGGAUCUUCCCGCGCAGGUUCGAAUCCUACCAACAUCG